GGGGCCGAUCCGGUUUCGACGUGAACGUGGAAGUCGUGGAGUGCAUGCCGAGCACCAGUAAGCUCGUUAAUCCACUGGAAUCAAGUUAAACGCGAACGACAAUAGUUUCGCUCUCGCCGCUUAAUUGCGGCGAGCCUCGCAGCGGCUUGCUGAUGGGCCGUGGUGGCAACACCGGCGAGGUCAUGCACAUCGGAUCGUUGACGGGCGCGCCGCGUGCCCGCCAAUUAAAUCAAGCGGAUCGCGAAUUCAGCAGCAUGUGCAUCUGCGGCUGAUUCGUUAAAUCCAAAUGAUGACACUAAGCAUGUAGAGCUUGCGGUGGAAUGUUUGCGGACGGGGGUUCAAUUCCCCCCGGCUCCACCA
rnacentral:tmRNA from 1 species